GCGGGACUCCACGGCCUUCAAGGAGGAACGGCCAGGCCAGAGGAGAGCAGCGGCUGUUUGGGUGCCGAGUCUUUCCUGCUCCUGCAUGUCACGGGACUCGGUGCGGGGACCGCUGGGGACCGCUGGGCACCGGCUGCAUCGUUCGGGGUGUUUCACGGACAGUUUCACCAGGGACCACACAAGUCCUCACCCGAGAGCAGACGCUCAGAACGUGAGAGCCACAAGGGGUCAGGACUGGAAAGCCCACCACGUGGACCACGUGACGACACAGCGCCAGCACCUCAGACACCUGCUCCCUGACCCACUGCGCCGUGAGAGGGGGCGGCACGCACUCACGUGAUCCAUCAUCUGCUGGAGGCCCUGGCUGAAGGGACGCCGUCCAACUCCCGUGAGUCCCUCCUGCGCCUCGGGAAAGGACACGGGCCCGAUGCUUGGGGCCAUGCCAAACUGCCUCACCAUGGAGUAGGCGAUGCGCGUGACCUUCCUCAGGUCGUCCUGAGCCCCUGGAGCAUGGGGCCGAGAAAGAGGUUUCUCUCGGCAGAGUGGCACGGGCCUGGGCCUGACCGCAGAGGACCCAGGGGACAACUGUGCCCUGUUACUGUUCUUUAAAGGACAGAGUCUUAAAAGUCUAAACACUACGUGGGGUGCACUCUGGGUUCGCUUCCCUGGCAGCUCCCCAGCACACGUCCAGCUCUGACAACACCCCUGUCAACGCUGAACCCUUGUGUCACUGGGGACACGAGCACCUGUACCAGUAGCUUGAGAACACUUAGUGAAAUUCAGAAGUACGUGUGUAAGCCACCCUUCGAAUUCCUCCAUCGGAUUCACCCUCCCAACCCCACGAGGAAGGCGCGGUGGAUGUAAAAGCACUUUGAGAACGCCAGAACCAGCACGGGCCAGCUCCUCACCAGAAGUGACCUUGUUGAAGGAGAUGGAUUCCGACACGCGGCCACCCAAGGCCAUGCACAUCCGCUCAAACAGCUGCUCCCUGGUGAAGAGGUGCUGGUCUCUUGGAAGCAUCUGAGCAAAGCCCAGGGCUGCGUUCGUCCGCGGUGCGAUGGA